GGCCAGAUGCCCGAGCGGUUAAGGGGAUAGACUCGAAUCUACUCGUUAGUUCGCCAUCUAUUAGGCUUUGCCUGCGCAGGUUCAAGUCCUGCUCUGGUCG
rnacentral:tRNA from 2 species